rnacentral:misc_RNA from 1 species
GAUGAAGAACGCAGCGAAAUGCGAUACGUAAUGUGAAUUGCAGAAUUCAGUGAAUCAUCGAAUCUUUGAACGCAGAUUGCGCUCUCUGGUAUUCCGGAGAGCAUGCUUGUUUGAGUAUCAGUAAACACCUCAACUCCCUUUUCUUUUUUGAAAUUGGAGCUGGACUUGAGUGAUCCCAACGCUUUCUUCCAAGAAAGUGGCGGGUUGCUUGAAAUGCAGGUGCAGCUGAACUUUUCUCUGAGCUAUAAGCAUAUCUAUUUAGUCUGCCUAAAAAACAGAUUAUUACCUUUGCUGCAGCUAACAUAAAGGAGACUAGUUCUUGUGCUGACUGAUGCAGGAUUCACAGAGACAGCUUCGGCUGACUUUGUAAACUCGAUCUCAAAUCAAGUAAGACUACCCGCUGAACUUAAGCAUAUCAAUAAGCGGAGGA